GCUCAUUCUAAACUUCCUCAGCCGUCUCAGGAAGAAGAGGCGUUGAUGUGCCUUCUUCAGGACUGCGUCAGUGUGUGUAGACCAGAUGCCAAACACGAGCUGGAUCCUGCUAGGAGAACAAUACUCUGCUGAACUCUGAGUGCUUUUCUUCAUUUGAGCUGAAUCAUGUACAACAUCAAUGUGACGUGUGGAGAGAUUGAGACUGAAUACAGACUUCAUGCUGAUUUACUGAACUACACCAAUAAUCCUGACUGUGAUCAGAGCUGGUAUUCACAGGGCAAGCGUCUGUUAGCAGAUCCAUCAGAUCCUCAAACACUGUUUGAUCCUGCUAUUUCUGUCUCGUCUGACCAUCUCUUCACUUCUCACUGUGUGGAUAAAGUUCAUCAUGAGAUCAUCUGUCAUUCUGCUGAAUUAAGAUAUGAGACUAUAUUUAGAGUGUUUAAUGGCACAGACUCCAUUAGCAGACCAAGACAAACUCCAGAAUCACAUCAGUUGUGGUGGAUUUCUGCCCUGAUCUUCAUUGUUCUUCUGGUUUUGAUCUGUUUCUUCUUGCGUAAAAGGAUCUCCAAUUGUAUUUCGAGAACAGUUACAAGCAUAUUUCAGCGCAAUGAUUCAGAAAACAG
ensembl:lncRNA